GNGNANNACANNNCUGANGGNCGACGAUUCCUACGGGAGGCAGCAGUGAGGAAUAUUGGGCAAUGGAGGCAACUCUGACCCAGCCAUGCCGCGUGCAGGAAGAAUGCCCUAUGGGUUGUAAACUGCUUUUAUUUAGGAAUAAACCCCUUUACGUGUAGAGGGCUGAAUGUACUAAACGAAUAAGCACCGGCUAACUCCGUGCCAGCAGCCGCGGUAAUACGGAGGGUGCAAGCGUUAUCCGGAAUCAUUGGGUUUAAAGGGUCCGCAGGCGGAUGUAUAAGUCAGUGGUGAAAUCCUGCAGCUUAACUGCAGAACUGCCAUUGAUACUGUACAUCUUGAAUUCGGUCGAAGUGGGCGGAAUGUGUAGUGUAGCGGUGAAAUGCAUAAAUAUUACACAGAACACCGAUAGCGAAGGCAGCUCACUAGGCCUGGAUUGACGCUCAGGGACGAAAGCGUGGGGAUCAAACAGGAUUAGAUACCCUGGUAGUCCACGCUGUAAACGAUGAUUACUCGUUUUCGGCGAUAUACAGUCGGAGACUAAGCGAAAGUGAUAAGUAAUCCACCUGGGGAGUACGAUCGCAAGGUUGAAACUCAAAUGAAUUGACGG
rnacentral:rRNA from 1 species